AUUGAACGCUGGCGGCAGGCCUAACACAUGCAAGUCGAACGAGUGGCGGACGGGUGAGCAAUGUCUGGGAAACUGCCUGAUGGAGGGGGAUAAGUACUGGAAACGGUAGCUAAUACCGCAUACCAUCAGAUGUGCCCAGAUGGGAGUAGCUAGUUGGUGUGGUAACGGCUCACCAAGGCGACGAUCCCUAGCUGGUCCGAGAGGAUGACCAGCCACACUGGGACUGAGACACGGUCCAGACUCCUACGGGAGGCAGCAGUGGGGAAUAUUGCGCAAUGGGCGAAAGCCUGAUGCAGCCAUGCCGCGUGUAUGAAGAAGGCCUUCGGGUUGUAAAAUACUUUCAGCAGGGAGGCGUUACCCGCAGAGGAAGCACCGGCUAACUCCGUGCCAGCCGCCGCGGUAAUAC
rnacentral:rRNA from 1 species